GUAGGUGGCAAGCGUUGUCCGGAAUUAUUGGGCAUAAAGCGCGCGCAGGCGGUUCUUUAAGUCUGAUGUGAAAGCCCACGGCUCAACCGUGGAGGGUCAUUGGAAACUGGAGAACUUGAGUACAGAAGAGGAAAGCGGAAUUCCACGUGUAGCGGUGAAAUGCGUAGAGAUGUGGAGGAACACCAGUGGCGAAGGCGGCUUUCUGGUCUGUAACUGACGCUGAGGCGCGAAAGCGUGGGGGGAGCAAACAGGAUUAGAUACCCUGGUAGUCCACGCCGUAAACGAUGAGUGCUAAGUGUUAGGGGGUUUCCGCCCCUUAGUGCUGCAGCUAACGCAUUAAGCACUCCGCCUGGGAGUACGGCCGCAAGGCUG
rnacentral:rRNA from 1 species